AAAUUGCGUUAGGGAUUGAGGCGGCAUCCUUUUUUAAAACCUUUUUUAGUAAGUUUUAAAAAAGAUAUAGCAGAAAGCCCGACAACUG
rnacentral:sRNA from 1 species